GUCGUGUCAGGUUUUUCAGUGGUGGCACUCGGCAGCUGGCUUAGAGAACUAGGGCAAGGGGCUGCUAGCGGAUUCCUCCCGGGGCAGUGGGCUGUGGUUGGUGGAGGGGGUGGAGCUGUAGGAGGGCAGCCGGCUUCGGGAGUGUCUCCUGUGGGGUAGGAGGACGAGUGGAAGGGAGAGGCACCGCCACAUGCUGGAGGCUGGAGCUUGCGCCACCGCAGCUCGCCACACUGCGGUUGGAGGUGACGUCGGACACUGUAGCUCGGCCAGAGUGCUGUGUUGGGAGUGGAAGAGGAGGAGGACCCCGACAUCAGCAUACACCACUGCCCAAACUAUGAGAAAACCCAUGUGAAGUCCACCUUGCUAAAGACAUAGUGACCCUUGUGCCAGACAGUCAGCUCACGCUGGGCCACAUGGAGGAUCACAGCUUCACCGAGCUCAUCUUCAUCCCUAAGAAAGACGGGCUGGGCCUGGCUGUCUCGGCCCCCAUGUUCUAUAUGAGCAAUGUCGAGAAAUAUGUGGGCAGGCCAGGCAUCCUGUGUUUUCAUUGGCUAAUCUGGCCACCCUCACGGAGGCGUGUCACCUGGCCACCUCGCAGCAUCACCAGGUCAGAGGAAGAGUGGUCGGGGCACUUCAUUGAGCCAAGAAAAGCAGGUGGGUGAAGUGAAGCUGGAUGUUGGCACCCAGAGCCUCAGCAUCCAGCCCCUGGCAGCUCUUGCCAUGUGUGAGGGCAGCAAAGGGUGUGUGUCCAUUCUACACAUCCCGGCCUCAGGGAGGCUGUGCCACCCUCCCAGGGUGCUCAGGCUCCACCUGCCACCGCCCCACGGCUGGAGCGGAGUGUGGAUGUGACAGAUGUCACCAAGCAGAAGGACUGCAAGAUGAAGCUUGAAGGAGUUUGCGAACUGUUACUACAUCACCAACUGCAAGUGGGUCCUCAAUAUUACCAACCUUGAGUUCUUCGACACCCAGCUGGCCCAAAGCUGUUUGUCUUUUAAUGUAUGAAGGUGACACAUCGUGAACCAUUUGAACAAAAAUAAGGAGCGAAAAGGCAAAGCCUCUUCUGACCUUGGCCACCCCCAUCUCACUCAUCAGAGAGAACCACUGGUAACGGUGUGUGGUUUUUUCCAGAAUGCACACGCUCAUGACGCAGACAAAUCGAUCACACACCCACUUAGGACACACAACAUACAUACUUACUCAUGAACACAGUCAGCACUCAUAACACCAAGUCGUAGAUAUGCUCAUAACAUACUGACUCAUGGACACUCCAACACAUGACACAAGACACACUCUCACAUUUGCUCAUGGACACAUGACAUGCUCACUCAUAGAUAUGUCACACGCAGUCAUGACACACUCAUACCUACUCAGACACAUGGUGCACUCACACUCAAGGACUCCAGGACACACUCGCCAAGACACGACACAUUCACAACCCACCAACACUCACCCAUGGACACACUCAUGCCAAAUUCAUAGACACGACACAGUAGUAGACACACGAACACACAUGACACACACAGCAUUCACCAACACAGGGUACACUCACACUCAUGGAAACCCCAACCCACUUGUGAUACAACAUACUAACACACUCGCUCACAUGACAUGGGCAUGUGAUACACUCACUCAUGGACAUUGACAGACACACCUGUGGACACACUCCUGAUACACAGGCACUGAUAAACACAAUAGACUCAUGACAUGCUUAUGACGCACACAUUCUUGAUGCACUGAGAUGCUGACUCACUGGCACACUCACACUCUUAACACCCUCAUCCCUGGCACAGUUACCAACACCUGCACACACCCAUGAGAUCCUGCAUAGGCGGCUGUUGUGAUCUGCGUCCCAGGCAAGGUGGGCCCCACACAGACGUGCCUUGGUUGGCCCAGUCUCCCUGAGUUCCUGGCGCUAGUUGUCAUCAGCCCUGUGGUCACUGGGUGCGAGUGAGGCAUCCUCUGUCAGGGCUGACCUACACCAGCCUGGUUUCCUCGUGGAAGAGCUGCUGGUCCCACACUUUGUGGCUCUGACCUUGUUCUCCAAUGGCUGCCGACUUGGUGGUGGUCGGUGCCAGCCCUGGAUCCACCCCUCACCCCGUCUCCAUCACAUCUCCUCUGCUGUCCAGCUGGCCCCUGAGAAAGAUCCAGAACACUCAUCGUAAGGCAUGCAUGGCUAAGGAUGGCUUCAGUCUGCAUCAUUUCCAUCAUGCCUACUUCCUGAAAGCACAUAACACAGGAUGUCCAGCUUUGUGGAGCCACCUGACAUCGUGAAGAAACUGACCUAGGUGGGCAAUUCCUGGCCAGAUGAUGCAUUGUUGGCCAAGCCCAAAGUCAGCAAGUACUGCCUGAUCUGCAUGAAGGACAGCUACACAGACUUCUACAUCGACUCUGGGGGUGCCUCUGCCUGGUACCACGUGCUCAAGGUGAGCCACGCCCCUUGGGGCACCUUGGCUUUGCCGUGGCCGUGACCCAUCUGCAAGAUGGUCUGCAGUCCCCGGGAGCCCUGACUGUGGACAAGAUGCCACUCCCCAGCGGGCCCUGGACCAUCCAUCUCUGCGACAGGAGGCCAUGGAGACAUCGCUGAGUGGAGGGGCUGGAGCUGCGUCACACUCACCCCUGUGGACUGCCUGGCCCUCGCGGGACAUUUCCUCCACAGCCUGAGCAUGCAGAUGCAGAGGAGGCACCAACAGAGCUCUCGUGGGCCCCAAGCCCUGCAGCUUCCCAGGGCGAUUGUCUCCUGGUCCACCUCAGCUAUGCAGGGCCCAGUGGGGAAGCCUGAGCUGAGCAUAUGAAGUGGAAAGAAGGUUGAAACUGGGCAGCCUGACUCAGUUUCCCAACCUCAAAACCUACUUCUGGUACAUGGGGAAGCACCUGCUGGAGGCGUUCAAAGUAACAGUGUGCAGCUGAGGGAUCCAGGCCGGUGGCAGGCUCUGCCCCAUGUCUUCUCCCAGACACCCAUAUUCAGUGGCUCUUACUCCAUAAUGCUCAACAUAUGGCCUCUAUACCUGCUUCCAUGGGAACUACAAUGAUGUUAUUUUCCAAGCACCUUCAAGGAGACGAGGAAGUGCCGGCAAGUCUGAUCUUUAAAAUGGUGACUAAAUAGUAGUGUGGCUAUAGAAUUUAUUGUCUAAACCCGAGCAACUUCCAGGGGAAAAGGGGAGUGCUAAACAUACUUAUAUACUUUUUGAAAUAUUUAUUAAUUAUUAGCUGAUAAUUUAUUUUUAUUGUAUCGGUAGAUCUAAAAAAUUGUUCUAAAGAAAAUUAUAAAAUAGUUUUAAAAAUAGCUUAUAUUUGUAUGCCUACUGCCACAGAAAGGAAACUGUUGGCUGUGCUGUGUGCAUCCAGAGAGGAUUAAGAAUAGAGAGACUGGUUAUGUUACUGGACGUCGUUCAGAUACAAGCUUCUGUUACAAUGAGAACCCUUCUUGCCGUGCCCACACAGAUGUCUCAUGUAGUAUGAGAGAAAAUCAAGGAGGAAUCUGGAAGUGCAGAAACCAUCAAGGCCUACCUUAAUGCAACCAUUAAUAACGUGGUUAAAAGUGAAAAAUUCUUGGAAAAAUCCUAAACUAGAUAGGACGAUAGACUGGUAGGAAACCUGGUUUUUAGUUGGAUAAUUACAUAUCCAGAUAAAUCUCAAGAAACAAUUCCAAAAGAACAAGAAAGAGCUAAACUUGUAUUAUGGGAUUCAUUGUAAGUAUUAAAGACAUACGCGAACUUUGAAACUUUAACAGUUCUGAGAUAGAGAAGAAUAUAAUUAUGACAUUGUUAUACAGAAUAUGUUCUUUAUAAUAAAAUGUCUUUAAUAUUCAGGAAAUUUA